GGGUGUUUGGCCGAGCGGUCUAAGGCGCUACGUUCAGGUCGUAGCCUCGUAAGAGGCGUGAAUUCGAACCUCACAGCACCCA
rnacentral:tRNA from 1 species